UCGAUUCAUUUUGAUGAUGAAAUCCCAAUGCUCGCACCUUGUUUGGGACUUUGAUUAGCCUAAAUUUAUGCAACCAUUUUAUUUCUCUCCAUCACAAGCAUAUUCUAAAAAUGAUAAAUUUAUCAAGUGAGUUACACUUCUUAGUAGUAACCGAUCAAAUUGUCGAUCUGGUUAAACAAAGAAGAAGAAAGGGGCCUUUUCUCUCUUUUCUUUUCGAAGCUCCAACCCUCUGUGUUGUUGUGGUUACAUAAAUUCACAAGAGAAGAAGAAAAAACUGUCUCUAAAAUCCGAAAAAUGGAGCGAAAUAGGCAUAUAAAGCAAGAAUGGCCGGAAAAUCACGAAUCGAUCGUUAGAAUUUGAAGCAAGAAAUCUACCAUAAUAUGAGAUUCGGCAACUGGGGUCUAAUGUCUCAAGAAAGGUGUUCCUGAAAAAGGGUGAAGCAUGACGAAUGCAGAAGGCGGCGACUCUCGGGACAUUCGGGUGAAGGCGUCACCUAUAGCCACUAGCAUCUCGGCCGCAAGUCUCUUGAGCGAAGGGCGUAGGGAGAGCGCCCAGAGGCCAAUUCCAACAAGCACAAGCUCAGCCCCUAACCCCAUGUUCUCUUUCUCCAUUCCAACAAUCACAAGCUAGCGGGCCAUCACUUCAACGUCUCCACUUAACAACUGCCGAUCUCACCUACUUUUCAAUCCUUUCAAUUUGAAACCCCAUCUCACUCAUGGGUGGGGCUGCCCGGGCCGGGCCUAAGGCUUGCCUGCGAUUUAAAAUCUUACGCAGGCCAGCCCAACUUGACAAAGUACUAGGCCAGGUCUGGCCGGGGCCUGUCCUGCAAAUAAUUUAGAAUGGCUGGGCUCAGCCC
rnacentral:lncRNA from 1 species